GGGCUUUUGAAGAAUGUGCAGAAUGUGGAAGUGCUACACCCCUGAGAACAGAAAUGUUUGGCUCCUUGCCUAAGGAUAGAGGCAGAUAUCACAGGAGCCAGGGGUGUCUGUGACCCCUACAUCCAGCACUAAUGACUAUGAGGUCAUAUACCAAAUGAAGAUGUAAAGAAAGCUAAAAGAGGACAUGCUAAGGAAAAGAAUUUAGAAAAUGGUACAGUGAUGCCUUAUACUCACUACAGGUCAACAGAGAGUAUGAAUUACACAGACAAAUGUGGUCAAAUAUUUGAUGGAAAUUUCAUGUAUAGCUCAGUAAUGGUGGAAAUGCUAAAACAGCAAUAGCAACGACUUGCAGAAUGAUCCCUAUUUCUGUAUAUAACAUACUUGAAUACUAACGAUUUCAAAAUCGAAGAUUCCUCAGAAACCAUUUGCCAUACAGAAGAAAUUGAGGCUGAAAAAUUUUAUCAGUUCCAUUUAUGAUAAAGUGAUUGAGAAUAAAACCCAAGAAUGAUAUGUAUAAAGAACUUUGGUUCAAAGAUGACA